rnacentral:rRNA from 1 species
UACGGGGGGAGCAAGCGUUGUUCGGAUUUACUGGGCGUAAAGGGUGCGUAGGUGGGUCUGUAAGUCAGUGGUGAAAUCUCCGGGCUUAACCCGGAAACUGCCAUUGAUACUAUAGGUCUUGAAUUUUCUGGAGGUAAGCGGAAUAUGUCAUGUAGCGGUGAAAUGCUUAGAUAUGACAUAGAACACCAAUUGCGAAGGCAGCUUACUACAGGAACAUUGACACUGAGGCACGAAAGCGUGGGGAUCAAACAGG